UUCCUACGGGGGGCAGCAGUGGGGAAUAUUGCACAAUGGGGGAAACCCUGAUGCAGCGACGCCGCGUGAGCGAGGAAGUAUUUCGGUAUGUAAAGCUCUGUCCGCAGGGAAGAAGAAUGACGGUACCUGAAGAAGAAGCACCGGCUAAAUACGUGCCAGCAGCCGCGGUAAUACGUAUGGUGCAAGCGUUAUCCGGAUUUACUGGGUGUAAAGGGAGCGCAGGCGGUUCUGCAAGUCUGAUGUGAAAGCCCGGGGCUCAACCCCGGGACUGCAUUGGAA
rnacentral:rRNA from 1 species